rnacentral:tRNA from 1 species
AAGGCUUUAUCUUAAUUAAAGUCUCUGGGUCGCAUCCAGGAGAUGUGGGGUAGAGUCCCGCAAGCCUUA